UGGUAUGGUUCUACAACAAGAAUUCAUAAUUAUCAGAAAAUCAUAAUAAUCAAGAAAAUCAUCUUAGUGUAAAACGAUUUAUUUCAUUUUCGAAUAUUUCUUCAAAUUACUUGUUCAUGUUUACAUUUUCAGUUUGACGUCUCAUGGUGAGGUUAGAUUCCAGAGUUACCAAGUGUCCGCUGGUGUUUUUCCUUUCAAAUAUGUGUUGUUUAUAGUGGCAACAAUGUGAUAUUAAUCUUCUUCGGUGAUGGAAAAAGAAAAGACGUCCAUUUCACGGGAGUUGUUGGUCAUUACAAGUACCAUCUAGAAUUCUCUCUUGAUUUUCGUACCACCUUAAUUUAAUUUCAAGUCGGAAAUUGCAUAUUAUACUUGAACAGUUUAGAAGUUCAGAUAAUUUUAUUUCAAAUCAGUAUCAAAUUUGAAAAAAACUGAAAAAGUGGUUUGAAUCGGAGAUAAUUCUUCAUUAGUUGUGUUCGCAAGCCGUACUUAUUCUUCCUGUUACGCAAGAUGGUCAACUUCAACGUAUUCUACAAGAACAACAGGGUAGGUUUUUUUUGUAAACAUCUAGAUGCAGACUUUUUCCACUAUUGGCGAUUCCUUAUUGAACUGGUGCUGAAAGUCUAAAUCUGGAAUAGGCGAUUGACUGGAGUACGUUAAAGUCAGCUUACAUCAUAUUCGAAUCAAUGGAUCAGAAACACUCUCGAAAACUCGAAAACAGUUCUUUGGUGUCCAAGGGUGCUAUGUACGCAUGAAUGAACGAGUGCUCAAUGACUCCUGAUGUCAGUGCUUUCCCCGAUUUUUUUCAUUACGAAUGAUGACUUCCAUGGCACUCAAUACAAUAAUUCACCAUUGUGGAGGUUUGUACCACGAUAGCUAUAUUGGCUCGCGAGGUACAAAUUUUCAGAAUGUUUAUUAUUAUCACCAUCCCAUAAAACUGGAUGAAACAUAGGAGAUAUGGAAAAUUUGUCAAAUUUGUAUUGGAAUUAGUUAUUACCAAUAGAAGAAAUAUAGGAGAUUCAAAUGCGAACAUUUGAUGUAAUAAUUCACUAUUUUGAAUAUUUGAUUUGUUUUUGAAUGUAUAUAUAUAUUCAAUUAUAAUAUAGCAAGAGCAUUUUUAUAUUCUGACAAUGAUGAGAAAUGAUUUAUAUCAUUUCGAAGUUGUAUUUUUUAUUGAAUCCUGUGACGUGUGCAAUACAAUGAAUUUUUGUAAAGGAGCAUCAAUAAAUUAUCUAUCAUAGACAAUAUUCGAUUGUACAGCGAGCGACAAGACUUAAGAAAUAUCACGUGAGCGCAGCUCGAGUGGUGUUUCGCGAAAUACGUCUAGUCAAGAGGUUCGUAUAAUCGAAACACAGGGUGGUCCGAGUUUUAGUUCAAUAGCUUUGGCGUACAGGGUGGGCAAAUUUCGAUGUUUCAGCACUACAUUUUUUAAACCAGAUGAGACAAAACAAAGACAGAAUCUGAUACCCUAUUCUCGUUGUCUUAUUCUGAAAAAAUGACAGGAGUAGUAUAAUUUUUGGCCUCCUUCUUUUGUUUUCGAGUAAUAAGCGAAAAUUGGAAAAAUGGCGAUAUCGAAAAAAAAAUAUUUCUCCGUCAAUACUGAUGAUAGAGCUCUGAAAUUAAAACAUUAUACAGGCACUUUUCAACGUAGAAUCCAGUGGCGUGUGCUUUUUUGACAGGGUUUUUAAUCACGAAGCCAUGAACCUAAGAUAGGUUUUUUCGAAUAGGAACACUAGAUUUCUGUGCAUUUCUUGAAAGCUUAAUUUUUUCUGAUUUCAAGAAUAUAUGACAUCGUAUGAUUUGUAUCAAUAUAAAUAAUAGAAAAUGGUCAGAAACCUUUUCUUAACUAAGAGUCUUAAUAUUUCUAUGGUUUCAACUGUUGAAAUUAUAACAGACCAUAGAAAUUAAUUACCGUUUAUAUAGAAAAGAGUCGGUGUUCUUUAAAUUGGACACCCAAUAUUUUACAACGCAUUUUUUUACCCGCAGAUUUGCCGGAAAGCAUUCCGUUACCGGUUUUUCGAAAAUGUAAUUUGUUUCAAAAAUAUGAGAUUUUCGAUUUCAUUCUUGAAGUGGGUCACUGUAUAUUUGAAUAUUUUUCAUUUAUUUUCGAGAUUCAUUUCAUUUUGUGUCUUUUGAAUAAUUGUGAUCAAUUCAUAUGAUUACCAUUCAAAAGUGACCAUAAAAAUGACUGAAACAAUACUUUUUGAAAUUUUCGAAUAUCUCGAAAAGAAAUCAAAAUAAAGUGAAAUAUUUGAAGUCAUUUUUCAGAAAAACUCUCGAAAACUCGAAAACGUAGCAAGAUAUUCACGUUCUUAUUCAUUCGAAAAAAGAAAACGGGAAUUCUUAAAUAUUUUUUCGUAAAUUUCUCGAGUUGAGCAAGGAAUUUGGGACACCCUGUACAUAGUAGUUAAAGAGCAUUUUCCUCGGCAUUCUCAAACUCCCAACGUUUACAUUUUUUUUACAUAUAGAUGAACAAUGUACUACUUUUCCUUGAAUAGUUCCAAAAAUUUCAUUUUGAAAAUAUUGAACGAAAAUCUUUCAGGACAUUUAGAUAUCGAAAAGUUUCAGUGCUUCUCUAUAUACAUAUUUACAUUUAUAAAUUUUCCAACUUCAACAAACACGAAUUACACACUGAGAGAAGUGUUUAUUUGAUAUUAUCGAAAAUGCAUUAUAGUUAA